CAUAAUUUCACCACCUGCAUUGCUCUCGCGUUUUUCUUCAUACUAUCUAGGGUUUGCUCGAUUGAGCUCGAAAGUUCAGCUUCAAUGGGCGGCGGAAAGAGAAGAAGGCAUGAUGUUGGAGCUGUGCACUCUAAUGGCAGAUUCAAGAAGCCUCAAGCAAGGUUUGUUCUUAUUUUUCUCUUUCUUUCUCAGUAUCACUACAAGAAAUUUAGACUUUCGUGGCACUUAUUUCCCGGCGAUUCCACAAUCCUUAGCGUAGUGUAUAUGAUCCUCUGAAAAACAAUUGGAAAUGAACGCGAUUGAAAAUCGACAUAAAGAAAAAGAUAAUCGAUACAGAAGGGGAAAAAAACGAGCGCCUUAUUUUCAUUUAAGUUCUCUUUCACUUCUCGCUGAACUUUUUAGUCUACCGUUUCGGUGUCGCCUCACUCGCCCAUAUCCUCUUUUCCAGUUUAAACUUUUAGCCUUUUAGGGUUUGCAGUUGAAAGUGGAGAACGUGAAAUCGGCAAUAGAAUAGCACAUAAUCAAAUAGCAAAUCUUGUUCAGAAGUUGUCCGCUGAGCUUCAUUCUGGUUUCGCACGUACUUGCGAAAAUUUUAUGGGUUUCUUCCACGCCAUUGAUUGGAAGAUAUCCUUCUCGAUCUUCAAUUUCAUUGAGUUUCCUUUAAAUUUAUAUGAUCAUUGUAUUAUUGGUGAUUUAGGAGGCAUGAAAUAAAUCGAUUAAUUUUAAUUAGGUUCAUUUUUACUGGGGUUAUUACUUGAUUCGUCUUUACCUUGGUAAAAUACAACCUAAGAUCUGAAUUUUUUUUAUGCUUGAUAUCGUACAUAUGAUUUAUUUUAUUUGUUCAAUUACAAAUUGUUGAUGAUAAUUGCAGCUUGAGAUUCGUAGGAGAAACUUUGGGUAUUUUACCCCUAAUCUUGUUUGAUGAGUUCUGAAUUUAUACAUUCUACAUCAAUUUAUAAACAUUACGGAGUAAUACAGUAAUUACGAAUUCAUGAAAUAAGAGGGGGUGGUCUAAAAUCACUUUAUGAAUAUGUUUCUCCUUCCGUUGGAUUUUUUUUACCACUAUAUAAGUAUAUAAAGUGUUUUUUCCCUUUGUAGUUCUACAUUUAGCCAAAUUUGUACUGGUUCAUUUUUAUGUUAUUUAUGCGAAGCUCUACUACUAUUUUCAGCUACUGGAUGAACCUCGUACUUAGUUGACAAUUGUAAUUACGGUUAAUAAUCAGAAUCUUGCAAUAAAGGUUAAUAUUUUCACUUUUUUAGCAACUAUUCACAACUUACAUAUGCUUAAAGUUCUGCAUUUUAAUUAUUACAGAUUAUUAUAAAAGGUAUGAUAUUCUUGUAAGUAUAUAGCUAGAUAGAUUAAUGCAUAACCAGCCUGAUACAUAUGUUGUUAAUGGUGUGAGCUGCGCAUGGAUCAUUUUCAUCAAUAGAUAAUUUUGUCAAUGUGUGAUUAGUAUUCUUUUUAUUUCCUUAGUAUGAUGUGUAUCUUCCAUCUUACUCCUAUUAUCUAUUUCAUGUUCAUUUUGGUGAGGAAUUGUGUAAACUCUUUUUGAACUUUUAUUUCUUUAAGCUACUCUUAUAAUUGGGAGUUUGGACAUUGUACUAAUCUGCGAACCAUUUACAAAAACUCCAAACUCACCAUUUCCCCUUCUUUGUGUGUGUGAAAAUUUGUGGGUUUCUAGUUUGAGAAUCUACUUGAUGACUGAUCAAAGCAUUAGCCUUCAUUUGAGCAUUUUGUCUUCCAUUAUUGAGGAGACUUGAGAAUACCUUAUUUGCGUUCAUAGGCAUGACUUUUCUAUGCAGAGACUUUGUGUAUAGACCUGGAUUUGAUGUGUUUUCCUAUUUACUAUUUCGUAUGAUUUAUCAAUUUCUUUUAUCAAUGCCAUCCAAAUUUGUGAUAUGUUACCUGUACUUCAGAAAAAUGAUUUUAAUGGUUGUGUAAAUGUCAGAGUACUUUAGAUUGAUUUUGCUAAUAUAAGUCCGCAUCUUUCCAUCUUUUACCUACAAACAGAACUAAUCAGUUCUUGUCCGUAUACUGUCAAAAUAGCAUAAAGUGCCAUGAUCAGUUGUUUUAGGGAAACUAGUAGUCUACUAGGUACUAUAGUUUUAUUCUUCUUUGGUCCAGAAUUUAUUUUGUUCUGCACUUCCUGAUUUGUUAUUACGCUUUUGUUUUAAGUUGUAUCAGGAUAAUCUAUGACACUAUAAGUUCAGAGUAAAGGCUUACUGAUUCAAAAACUAAACUUUCUUGUUUUGUGGCAAACUGCUUUAGAUGCUACGCGCGAUUAUUGACCUACAUAUUUCCAGUGUUUUGAGGAAAUAUAUGGUUUGGCAGAUAGGAUUGGUCUGAGAGUUCCAGAUAUCGUUGGAUUUGUUGAUAAUUUGAAUAGUGCUUGGUUUCUAUUAAAGGAGACCCAAAACAUAUCAGCUAGCCACUAUAAUGGGGGUACAGUGCUCCCACGGAUGGAUAGAGUUGCGUCUGCUAAUGAUUUCAAGGGUAUUAUCACGCGAUACUAUUCUGCCACUGAGUUCAGUUCUAUGCGGCAGUACUCUGUAAAGGCAGUUUAUCAAAAGAUGACACCAGGCCAACACAGAGUUCCUUGGGAUAACAUCAUUUGGUGCAGGUUAGCAGUGCCAAAGCACAAAAUUUAUCAGUUAGUUAAGUGUGCUGAACAGGCUGAAAACUAGAGACGAGUUGUUCAAGUUUGGAGUUUCUGGUGAGCUAGUUUGUCCCAUGUGUGCAGUUGAGAAUGAGACCCACGAGCAUACGUUUUUCUGUACAGUAGGCAAUGUUGGACAACGAUCAAAUCUUGGUGUGCAAUAACAACUAAAUGCAGUUACAUCAAGGGAAUAGUUAGAUGGAUUGCCAGGUGCAAGGUAAGUAAAUUUGAAGAGUGUAUUUUCUACAAUUCUUUGUUCUAGCAUCUAUCAUAUUUGGAUUGAGAGGAACAAUUCAGUUUGGAAUCAACAGCUGCUUAUGCCUCAAAUUUUGAUUUCUCAGAUUCAAAGCGUUGUUAGAAACAGAAUCAUAAAUGUAAUGCCUAAGAAAGUUAGUGCUAGUGAUUUGAGUUGGUUUGAUAACCUGAUGUAAA